GCCCUUGUGGCGUAGUGGUAGCGCGUCGCACUUGUAAUGCGAAGGUCCCUAGUUCAAUCCUGGGCGGGGGCA
rnacentral:tRNA from 5 species